CCCUUGGAGCGUUACAUCAAACGAAAGUAGUCGCAGUAUGGCAAAAUCGGAUGCUAUGAACAGGGAA
rnacentral:ncRNA from 1 species